rnacentral:rRNA from 1 species
UACGAGGGGUCCAAGCGUUGUUCGGAAUCACUGGGCGUAAAGCGGGUGUAGGCGGCUACACAAGUUGGGUGUGAAAGCCCCGGGCUCGACCCGGGAAGUGCAUUCAAAACUAUGUAGCUUGAGUACGUGAGAGGAAGGUAGAAUUCCAGGUGUAGUGGUGAAAUACGUAGAUAUCUGGAGGAACACCGGUGGCGAAGGCGGCCUUCUGGCGCAGUACUGACGCUCAGACCCGAAAGCGUGGGUAGCAAACAGG